UCUGGCUCAGAUUGAACGCUGGCGGCAGGCCUAACACAUGCAAGUCGAACGGUAGCACAGAGAGCUUGCUCUCGGGUGACGAGUGGCGGACGGGUGAGUAAUGUCUGGGAAACUGCCCGAUGGAGGGGGAUAACUACUGGAAACGGUAGCUAAUACCGCAUAACGUCUUCGGACCAAAGUGGGGGACCUUCGGGCCUCACACCAUCGGAUGUGCCCAGAUGGGAUUAGCUAGUAGGUGGGGUAAUGGCUCACCUAGGCGACGAUCCCUAGCUGGUCUGAGAGGAUGACCAGCCACACUGGAACUGAGACACGGUCCAGACUCCUACGGGAGGCAGCAGUGGGGAAUAUUGCACAAUGGGCGCAAGCCUGAUGCAGCCAUGCCGCGUGUAUGAAGAAGGCCUUCGGGUUGUAAAGUACUUUCAGCGGGGAGGAAGGCGAUG
rnacentral:rRNA from 1 species